rnacentral:pre_miRNA from 14 species
CUGUUUCGGAGCCUGGAGCAGGGGGGCAGGAGGGGCUCAGGGAGAACAUGUGUGCAGCCCCUGGCCCUCUCUGCCCUUCCGUCCCCCGUUCC